rnacentral:rRNA from 1 species
AUUGAACGCUGGCGGCAGGCCUAACACAUGCAAGUCGAACGAGUGGCGGACGGGUGAGUAAUGUCUGGGAACCUCCCCGCUGGAGGGGGAUAACUACUGGAAACGGUAGCUAAUACCGCAUACCAUCGGAUGUGCCCAGAUGGGAUUAGCUAGUAGGUGGGGUAACGGCUCCCCUAGGCGACGAUCCCUAGCUGGUCUGAGAGGAUGACCGGCCACACUGGAAGUGUGACACGGUCAAGACGCUUACGGAAGGCAGCGGUGGGGAAUUUGGUGCAAUGGGAGCAAGGCUGAAGCAGCCAUGCCGCGUGUAUGAAGAAGGCUUUCGGGUUGUAAAGUACUUGCAGCGAGGAGGCGUUACGCGCAGAAGAAGCGCCGGCUAACUACGUGCCAGCCGCCGCGGUAAUUC